CAGGGUAGGUAGGGGUGCGGCGGCGGUGAGGAGGCUUAGGAGGAGCUAAAGGGGUAGCCGGUUAGGGUGGCGUCGGAGGAGGAAGGAGCUAGAAGGGACGGUGGGUCAGGGCAGCUAGGUGGGUAGAUGGCUAGGGGUGGUUGGUCUCUAGGGGAGCCGGGAGGAGCUGGUCGUCGUUGGUCCUCGAGCUAGAGGAAGAGGGUUCGGGCGCGCGGGUUCCUUUGCGUGCUCCGACACGGAGGAACAGGGGCGCGGAGACGGAGCGGCCACCAACGGUCGGUGGGUUCGUCGUCGUCGUCAGGCCUCGAGGCGGAGGAGAGCGCUCGCGGGGAAGUCGGUAGGUCAGGUCGUCUACUCGGGGGCGCGGGAGAGGGAGCCAGGGAGGAAGAGAAGGAAGAAAGAGACUUAGAGAGAGAGGGAGGGAAGAAGUCCAAUGUCGUUGUCGCGGUACCUACGGCGGGGUUCGAAGCAGCGGCCAGCGAAGGCACGGCAAGGCCACUGGGUCGUGUGACCACAGGGCGCUGACCUAGGCAGUUCGAGGCGGGGAGCGGUCCGGAGCAAGCGACGCGGCGGAGCGUCCGGGAGACGAGAGGGCGCGGAGCAGGGGCUGUGGCCGUUUAAGCGGCGGCGGUCCUGGAACGGAGCGGCCUAAGCGGGGGGUGGCGGCCCUUAGCCAAGGGCUGCCGGAGGCGGGAGGGACGGCAGCAGGCGCGGUUCAGGGACGGCGGCGGGACGCAGGGGACGAAGGGCAGCGCUCGAGGUCGCGGCGACAAGGGACGACGCCACAAGGAAGAAGUCUUUGCUUGUCUUGUCGAGCCCUUGCUUGCGAGCUGGCGCACGCAACUGGCGCGUGCGCACCUGUACUCCGGAGCUAGCGUGAGGUCGUUCCGGGCCAACGCGGGGGGGUCGGCUGAGGGAGGUGUCUGGGUCGGCCCGGUCGAACGAGACGAGGUUCCGGGUCGGGGUUCGGUCGGCCGGACAACCGGGCUAAAGGCCAUUACAACGCUAACACUCCUAAGUAAGCUGAUGAGGGCAAGCAGAAGAAGUACCUGAGCAAGAAGAAGGAACGUCCUAAAGUCAAACGUCCACAGCUACAAUGGCUCGUCCACUGCGUUGGUUCGAGUUCCUCCUCGAGCUACUUCUAGAACGGGAAACACAACAAAGCAAGAUCAACUAGUCAUCACCUCGGGUCAACCCCAGCUAGCCCCUGGAAACAGCGUAAACCCCAAGAAGAAAAUAAAACCAAGGCAUCAGCCUGGAACUAACAUAGACCUACUACAUUACGAAAUAAGUACAUUAACACACUUCACCGCUAACAUUCGGUUGAUACAUAGAAAAGGG
rnacentral:rRNA from 1 species